AGCGAACGCUGGCGGCAGGCUUAACACAUGCAAGUCGAACGCCCCGCAAGGGGAGUGGCAGACGGGUGAGUAACACGUGGGAACGUACCCUUUGGUUCGGAAUAACUUGGGGAAACUCAAGCUAAUACCGGAUAAGCCCUUAUGGGGAAAGGUUUACUGCCGAAGGAUCGGCCCGCGUCUGAAUAGCUAGUUGGUGAGGUAAUGGCUCACCAAGGCGACGAUCAGUAGCUGGUCUGAGAGGAUGAUCAGCCACACUGGGACUGAGACACGGCCCAGACUCCUACGGGGGGCAGCAGUGGGGAGUAUUGGACAAUGGGGGCAACCCUGAUCCAGCCAUGCCGCGUGAGUGAUGAAGGCCUUAGGGUUGUAAAGAUCUUUUACCCGGGACGAUAAUGACUGUACCGGGAGAAUAAGCCCCGGCUAACUUCGUGCCAGCCGCCGCUGUAA
rnacentral:rRNA from 1 species